rnacentral:rRNA from 1 species
CAGCUAAGGUCCCAAAAUAUAUGUUAAGUGGAAAAGGAUGUGGGGUUGCACAGACAACUAGGAUGUUAGCUCAGAAGCAGCUAUCAUUCAAAGAGUGCGUAAUAGCUCACUAGUCGAGUGACCCUGCGCCGAAAAUGUACCGGGGCUAAACAUAUUACCGAAGCUUUGGAUUGAUAUUUUAUCAAUGGUAGGAGAGCGUUCUUAACCGCGAUGAAGGUAUACCGUGAGGAGUGCUGGAGCGUUAAGAAGUGAGAAUGCCGGUAUGAGUAGCGCAAGAUAAGUGAGAAUCUUAUCCACCGUAAGACUAAGGUUUCCAGGGGAAGGCUCGUCCGCCCUGGGUUAGUCGGGACCUAAGGCGAGGCCGAAAGGCGUAGUCGAUGGACAACUGGUUGAUAUUCCAGUACUAGAUAUGAUCGUGAUGGAGGGACGCAGUAGGCUAAGAGAUGCCAGUUAAUGGAUUCUGGUCUAAGCAGUGAGGUGUGAGAUGUGUCAAAUGCAUUUCUCUUUAACAUUGAGCUGUGAUGGGGAAGCAACUACGGUUGCGAACUCUCUGAUGUCACACUGCCAAGAAAAGCUUCUAGCGUAAAGUCAUAUCUACCCGUACCGCAAACCGACACAGGUAGUCGAGGCGAGUAGCCUCAGGUGAUCGAGAGAACUCUCGUUAAGGAACUCGGCAAAAUAGCCCCGUAACUUCGGGAGAAGGGGUGCUGGUGUAAAAGCCAGCCGCAGUGAAUAGGCCCAAGCAACUGUUUAUCAAAAACACAGCUCUCUGCUAAACCGCAAGGUGAUGUAUAGGGGGUGACGCCUGCCCGGUGCUGGAAGGUUAAGAGGAGUGCUUAGACGUAAGUCGAAGGUAUGAAUUGAAGCCCCAGUAAACGGCGGCCGUAACUAUAACGGUCCUAAGGUAGCGAAAUUCCUUGUCGGGUAAGUUCCGACCCGCACGAAAGGCGUAAUGAUUUGGGCACUGUCUCAACGAGAGACUCGGUGAAAUUUUAGUACCUGUGAAGAUGCAGGUUACCCGCGACAGGACGGAAAGACCCCAUGGAGCUUUACUGUAGUUUGAUAUUGAGUACCUGUAAGUCAUGUACAGGAUAGGUAGGAGCCAUUGAAAUAGGGACGCUAGUUUCUAUUGAGGCGUUGUUGGGAUACUACCCUUGACUUAUGGUUACUCUAACCCGCUGGCAUAAUCGGCCAGGGAGACAGUGUCUGACGGACAGUUUGACUGGGGCGGUCGCCUCCUAAAGAGUAACGGAGGCGCUCAAAGGUUGGCUCAGAUUGGUUGGAAAUCAAUCGUAGAGUGUAAAGGUAAAAGCCAGCUUGACUGCGAGAGCUACAACUCGAGCAGGUAGGAAACUAGGACUUAGUGAUCCGGUGGUACCGCAUGGAAGGGCCAUCGCUCAACGGAUAAAAGCUACCCUGGGGAUAACAGGCUUAUCUCCCCCAAGAGUUCACAUCGACGGGGAGGUUUGGCACCUCGAUGUCGGCUCGUCGCAUCCUGGGGCUGUAGUCGGUCCCAAGGGUUGGGCUGUUCGCCCAUUAAAGCGGCACGCGAGCUGGGUUCAGAACGUCGUGAGACAGUUCGGUCCCUAUCCGUCGCGGGCGUAGGUAAUUUGAGAGGAUCUGUCCUUAGUACGAGAGGACCGGGAUGGACUUACCGCUGGUGUACCAGUUGUUCCGCCAGGAGCACGGCUGGAUAGCUAUGUAGGGAAGGGAUAAGCGCUGAAAGCAUCUAAGUGCGAAGCCCACCUCAAGAUGAGAUUACCCAUUCGUAAGAAUUAAGAGCCCAGAGAGAUGAUCUGGUAGAUAGGCUGGAAGUGGAAGAGUUGCGAGACUUGGAGCGGACCAGUACUAAUCGCUCGAGGACUUUACC